GGGGAUGCCUUGGUUUCGACGGGGGAGGCUGGUCCCGAAUUGCGAGCCGAGAGGUACCGAUCUCGUAAAAUCAGUGCAAAAAAUUAAGUGCCAAUAAUCGCACUUCCUAUGCUGCAAUGCCUCUCGCUGCAUAAGCGAUAAGCUAGUAGCUUUGACCUUUUCAGGUCAACGUUUGCCUGCAUCGUAUUCCCGACCGAUCGCAGAGCAGGCGUAACAAAGCCGGGAUGCUGACCAUGAAUUUGCGGCAUGGUUCAAAAGAGGGCUUUCGGGCCCGAGCAAAUAGUCUUGAUCGGUUUUGUUCAUUUUUCCGAUAGAGACGAAAUAAAUAAAUGAACUACGCUCGUAGUAUAUUCGAGGAUCGAUUCUUUCGGACGCGGGUUCGACUCCCGCCAUCUCCAC
rnacentral:tmRNA from 1 species